rnacentral:tRNA from 1 species
UCCCUAGUAGCUCAGAUGGUAAAGCAUCUGCCUGCAAUGCAGGAGACCUGGGUUCGAUCCCUGAGUGGGGAA